CUAAAGACAAUGAAAGAGCCAAGUAGCAUAGUGAGUCUGUAUAGGGAGAAGUGGUCAUAGACUGAAAGCCACUUUACAAACGAAUUUGUGAACAUUUCACCUCUGGAGUCGCCGCCGGGAAGCACUUUAUGUGUGAAGGUGGUCCGGUUACUAAGCCGUUAUCGAAUUUUGAGUGGGAACAAUUUUUUGUUCUUAUUAGGGUGGUACCGCGAGAAGUCUCGUCCCUUUG
rnacentral:ncRNA from 1 species